GACGAACCGUGCGAACGUUGUUCGGAAUCACUGGGCUUAAAGGGCGCGUAGGCGGGCUCACAAGUCAGGGGUGAAAUCCCACGGCUCAACCGUGGAAGUGCCUUUGAUACUGUGGGCCUCGAGGGAGGUAGGGGCGUGCGGAACUUCCGGUGGAGCGGUGAAAUGCGUAGAUAUCGGAAGGAACACCGGUGGCGAAAGCGGCGCGCUGGACCUCAUCUGACGCUGAUGCACGAAAGCUAGGGUAGCGAACGGG
rnacentral:rRNA from 1 species